AUGCCGCGAUACCUACCACUUGCUUUAUCAUGCCUCCCAUAUUGCCAUGUCAAACCUCUAACCCACCUUGUCCUAGCAAACCGUUGUUUGGCUAUGUUACCGCUUUGCUCAGCCCCUCUUAUAGCGUUGCUAGUUGCAGGUGAAGAUUGGAGUUUGUUCCUUGUUGGAACAUGUUUAUUGUUGGGAUAUCACAAUAUCUCUUAUCUAAUUAAUGCAUCUAUAUACUUGGUAAAGGGUGUAAGGCUCGGCCUUAUGCCUGGUGUUUUGUUCCACUCUUGCCGCCCUAGUUUCCGUCAUACCGGUGUUAUGUUCCUUGAUUUUGGGUUCCUUACGCGGUUGGGUUAUAAUGGGAACCCCUUGACAGUUCUCCUUGAAUAA
rnacentral:rRNA from 1 species